UACAGAGGGUGCGAGCGUUGUCCGGAAUCACUGGGCGUAAAGGGCGCGUAGGUGGCGACCCAAGUCCAUGGUGAAAGCUCGAUGCUCAACAUCGAGUCGGCCACGGAUACUGGGUUGCUGGAGCACUGUAGAGGCAGAUGGAAUUCCGGGUGUAGCGGUGGAAUGCGUAGAGAUCCGGAAGAACACCGGUGGCGAAGGCGGUCUGCUGGGGCAGUUGCUGACACUGAGGCGCGACAGCGUGGGGGAGCAAACAGGG
rnacentral:rRNA from 1 species